UACGUAGGGUGCGAGCGUUAAUCGGAUUUACUGGGCGUAAAGCGUGCGCAGGCGGCCCGUUAAGACAGGUGUGAAAUCCCUGGGCUCAACCUAGGAAUUGCGCUUGUGACUGGCGGGCUUGAGUAAGGUAGAGGGGGGUGGAAUUCCUGGUGUAGCGGUGAAAUGCGUAGAGAUCAGGAGGAACACCGAUGGCGAAGGCAGCCCCCUGGGGCUGUACUGACGCUCAUGCACGAAAGCGUGGGGAGCAAACGGG
rnacentral:rRNA from 1 species